GAUGAACGCUGGCGGCGUGCUUAACACAUGCAAGUCGAGCGAAGCACUUAAGAAUGAUUCUUCGGAUGAGCUCUUUUAUGACUGAGCGGCGGACGGGUGAGUAACGCGUGGGUAACCUGCCUCAUACAGGGGGAUAACAGUUAGAAAUGACUGCUAAUACCGCAUAAGCGCACAGUGCCGCAUGGCACCGUGUGAACAACUCCGGUGGUAUGGGAUGGACCCGCGUUGGAUUAGGCAGUUGGCGGGGUAACGGCCCACCAAACCGACGAUCCAUAGCCGGCCUGAGAGGGUAGACGGCCACAUUGGGACUGAGACACGGCCCAAACUCCUACGGGAGGCAGCAGUGGGGAAUAUUGCACAAUGGGUGAAACCCUGAUGCAGCGACGCCGCGUGAGUGGAGAAGUAAUUCGUUAUGUAAAGCUCUAUCAGCAGUGAAGAAAAUGACGGUACCUGACUAAGAAGCCCCGGCUAACUACGUGCCAGCCGCCGCGGUAA
rnacentral:rRNA from 1 species